rnacentral:lncRNA from 1 species
AUGAGAGGUUUAGGUUCAUGUCCCACCCUCCGCGGGCUCUACGUGUCCCAAACCUCCCUGGACUCUACCAUGUCCCACCCUCCGCGGGCUCUACAAUGUCCCACCCUCCGUGGGCUCUACAAUGUCCCACCCUCCGCGGGCUCUACGUGUCCCACCCUCCGCGGGCUCUACAAUGUCCCACCCUCCGUGGGCUCUACAAUGUCCCACCCUCCGCGGGCUCUACGUGUCCCACCCUCCGCGGGCUCUACCAUGUCCCACCUUCCGCGGGCUCUACGUGUCCCACCCUCCGCGGGCUCUACGUGUCCCACCCUCCGCGGGCUCUACCAUGUCCCACCUUCCGCGGGCUCUACAAUGUCCCACCCUCCGCGGGCUCUACGUGUCCCACCCUCCGCGGGCUCUACCAUGUCCCACCUUCCGCGGGCUCUACAAUGUCCCACCCUCCGCGGGCUCUACGUGUCCCACCCUCCGCGGGCUCUACCAUGUCCCACCUUCCGCGGGCUCUACAAUGUCCCACCCUCCGCGGGCUCUACAAUGUCCCACCUUCCGCGGGCUCUACAAUGUCCCACCCUCCGCGGGCUCUACAAUGUCCCACCUUCCGCGGGCUCUACGUGUCCCACCCUCCGCGGGCUCUACAAUGUCCCACCCUCCGCGGGCUCUACCAUGUCCCACCCUCCGCGGGCUCUACAAUGUCCCACCCUCCGCGGGCUCUACCAUGUCCCACAAUCCGCGGGCUCUACCAUGUCCCACCCUCCGCGGGCUCUACAAUGUCCCACCCUCCGCGGGCUCUACAAUGUCCCACAAUCCGCGGGCUCUACCAUGUCCCACCCUCCGCGGGCUCUACCAUGUCCCACCCGCCGCGGGCUCUACCAUGUCCCACCCUCCGCGGGCUCUACAAUGUCCCACCCUCCGCGGGCUCUACCAUGUCCCACCCUCCGCGGGCUCUACCAUGUCCCACCCUCCGCGGUCUCUACCAUGUCCCACCCUCCGCGGGCUCUACAAUGUCCCACCCUCCGCGGGCUCUACCAUGUCCCACAAUCCGCGGGCUCUACCAUGUCCCACCCUCCGCGGGCUCUACAAUGUCCCACCCUCCGCGGGCUCUACAAUGUCCCACAAUCCGCGGGCUCUACCAUGUCCCACCCUCCGCGGGCUCUACAAUGUCCCACCCUCCGCGGGCUCUACAAUGUCCCACAAUCCGCGGGCUCUACCAUGUCCCACCCUCCGCGGGCUCUACAAUGUCCCACCCUCCGCGGGCUCUACAAUGUCCCACCCUCCGCGGGCUCUACAAUGUCCCACCCUCCGCGGGCUCUACCAUGUCCCACCCUCCGCGGGCUCUACCAUGUCCCACCCUCCGCGGGCUCUACCAUGUCCCACCCUCCGCGGGCUCUACCAUGUCCCACCCUCCGCGGGCUCUACAAUGUCCCACCCUCCGCGGGCUCUACCAUGUUCCACCCUCCGCGGGCUCUACCAUGUCCCACCCUCCGCGGUCUCUACCAUGUCCCACCCUCCGCGGACUCUACAAUGUCCCACAAUCUGCGGGCUCUACCAUGUCCCACCUUCCGCGGGCUCUACCAUGUCCCACCCUCCGCGGGCUCUACCAUGUCCCACCCUCCGCGGGCUCUACCAUGUCCCACCCUCUGUGGGCCCUGCUUGUCAAGCAGAAGGACGCAUAAUGAUUACUUUGCCAGCUACCGGUAG